rnacentral:rRNA from 1 species
CCUACGGGUGGCUGCAGUGGGGAAUAUUGGACAAUGGGGGCAACCCUGAUCCAGCCAUGCCGCGUGUGUGAAGAAGGCCCUCGGGUGGUAAAGCACUUUCAGUGAGGAAGAACGCCUGGUGGUUAAUACCCAUCAGGAAAGACAUCACUCACAGAAGAAGCACCGGCUAACUCCGUGCCAGCAGCCGCGGUAAUACGGAGGGUGCGAGCGUUAAUCGGAAUUACUGGGCGUAAAGCGCGCGUAGGUGGCUUGAUAAGCCGGUCGUGAAAGCCCCGGGCUCAACCUGGGAACGGCAUCCGGAACUGUCAAGCUAGAGUGCAGGAGAGGAAGGUAGAAUUCCCGGUGUAGCGGUGAAAUGCGUAGAGAUCGGGAGGAAUACCAGUGGCGAAGGCGGCCUUCUGGACUGACACUGACACUGAGGUGCGAAAGCGUGGGUAGCAAACAGGAUUAGAUACCCGAGUAGUC